CUUCUUUACUCAUUCAUCGACUCAUUCCUACAUUAUUUAUUGAAUAGCUAUUAGGAGCUAGGUACAAAAUAAAACAAAUAAAAGAACCCUGCUAGCUUUCAUUUUUAGCAGGGGAAGAGGACCAAUAAAUAAUAAGCAUAAUCAAUAAAGUAAGUCAGAAGGAAGUAAAUGCUAUGUAAAAAAGAAAUAAGAGAGCCAGAGGGAGGAGUGGAGCUGAGAAGGAGGACAGGCUGCCGGUUGCAGCAGGACGCUGAAUGAGAAUGAGAAAGUGAGGAUUUGAGCAAAGACGGAAGGAGGCUGUGGACCUGGUCUUGCAGAUGGAAAGAUGGAGUUGGGAUCUGCGAAGAUGAAGCAGGUUGGAACUGGAGCCGGAUUCCGCAUUUCCCAGCCAGCUCCACUGAUUCCAUUCCUGGAUUCAGGAAGAGUCGGGAGAUGGAGGCGCCCCCAUCCCAGUGAGACCCCAGACCCCUACUUUUGUGACAGGACUAGGAAAAUAGGCCCGAGGCUCCAUCAGUGACCUAGGGGACAUCUGAAGAAGAGCAGAAGGUGCUCUCAGUGAGGACAGUGAGCCCUGGUUGUCUGCGAGAUGGAAAGCAUGAGGUUGUGUGUUCUUGCAGGGGGCUGCGUGAGCCAGGAGCCCUGAUGCCAGUCCUGCAGCAAGACUUCACUGUCCCGAGAACUUGGGCAGGUCAUUUAGUUUCCUCAUUGGUAAUAGGAGGACAAUGUCAGCUAUUUGAAUGGUUCUUGUUUGAAAUAAAAAGGCUCCCUGCAAACAGAA